AUUGAACGCUGGCGGCAUGCUUUACACAUGCAAGUCGAACGGUAACAGGCCUUCGGGUGCUGACGAGUGGCGAACGGGUGAGUAAUGCAUCGGAACGUGCCCAGAGGUGGGGGAUAACGCAGCGAAAGCUGUGCUAAUACCGCAUGUGAUCUGAGGAUGAAAGCGGGGGACCAGGCAGCAAUGUUUGGCCUCGCGCCUUUGGAGCGGCCGAUGUCAGAUUAGGUAGUUGGUGGGGUAAGGGCCUACCAAGCCGACGAUCUGUAGCUGGUCUGAGAGGACGACCAGCCACACUGGGACUGAGACACGGCCCAGACUCCUACGGGAGGCAGCAGUGGGGAAUUUUGGACAAUGGGCGCAAGCCUGAUCCAGCAAUGCCGCGUGCGGGAAGAAGGCCUUCGGGUUGUAAAACGCUUUUGUACGGAACGAAAAGGCUCUGGCUAAUACCUGGGGCUGAUGACGGUACCGUAAGAAUAAGCACCGGCUAACUACGUG
rnacentral:rRNA from 1 species